rnacentral:rRNA from 1 species
UACGUAGGGGGCGAGCGUUGUCCGGAUUUAUUGGGCGUAAAGCGAGCGCAGGUGGUUUAAUAAGUCUGAUGUAAAAGGCAGUGGCUCAACCAUUGUGUGCAUUGGAAACUGUUAGACUUGAGUGCAGUAGAGGAGAGUGGAAUUCCAUGUGUAGCGGUGAAAUGCGUAGAUAUAUGGAGGAACACCGGUGGCGAAAGCGGCUCUCUGGACUGUCACUGACACUGAGGCUCGAAAGCGUGGGUAGCAAACAGG